GCUACCAGGAUAAACAAAGUUGUAUAAAACUAGUACAAGCUUAUAUUAUGGAUAUGUCCUUUUCAAUGGUUCAGUGCAGUUGCCAGCUGAAUCAUAGGAUUGUGCUUCACAGUUGUCCCUGAAAGCCCCUUAUUUUCCUUUCCUCCUCUCCUGCAAGGUAUCUCAGCACAGCCUCAGAAAUGCUGCCUGGCAUUCUAAGUUACUCAGCUGUACUACUCAGGAGUUCCUCUUUAGGACUAGUAAUCCAAAUGGAGCUACUCACGAGUAAUUUAGCUAGGGGCGUUGCAAGGCUGCUGGAGGCCCCAGGAGAAGCCAAAGUCCAAUUAUGUUUUCAGCCACCUUUACAACUUCUGGAAGAUUCUCUAAAAAAAAUCAAGUUCUUAUAAAGGUACAAAAAACUACUUAUUAGAACUUAGUUUUUUGAGAGAGUCUUCCAGAAGUAGUAGGACUUUGGAGCAUGAGGAUUAGUAUUACUUUCUGAAGACCAUUCUUUACUUCAAAAAGAUCUACAUCGAAAUGGAGGUCAUCGGCUCACUGCCGUGCAGGAUGUGUGGCCUUAGUACUGGAUUGCAUCCUUCUCCACACCAUGGACUUCACCUAUCCUCCAUUGCUACAUACUUCAUUUCUGGGGAUCUUAUUGUUUGUCGUUGAUAUAGGGGAAAGAACAUGACCCAGUCUUGGUGGUGGGAUAGGUGGGACAUGCAACAGGGGAAGGGGUAAUGGAGCAGGGAGGUGAGGGGGCACCUUGGGGUCAAUGUUCCCUCUAAUUUUUUUUCAUCUGUGUGGGGAAAAAGUUUUGUUCUGGGCGGCAGUAUCAAGACAGUGUGUGCACACAUGCAGUCAGAAUGGGAUCUUCCUGAUUCAACCUGAGCAGGAUCUAAAAUUAACUGAGUGGACAUCAAAAAACUUGUGUGCACAAGCGCACACCUUAGAGGAAACACUGCUUUGGGUGCCUUGGCAUCCCCACCCCCAUUCAAUUUUCCCAUGUGUAGGUCUGUCAGCCACUGCAUUCUGAAGUGUUUUUCAUUUGCAACAUCAUCAAGAAUGCCCAAGAACUUCUGAUGUAGCAUUAGAGAAGGAUUGGGUGAUACAAGAACAUAAGACCACCCUACUGCAUCAGACCAGACAUCCAUCUAGUCCAGCACCUCUUUAGUUUUGCACUGUGGUGAACCACAAGGAAAGCUCACAAGUGGGACAUGAAGGCCGUGGUCCCCCCAUUUUUCCUUCCCUUACUAAGUGGUGUUCAGUGAUACAUUGCCUUUGAAUGUAUAUGCUUAUUUCAAUCAACAUGUGCCUCAAAAUGCAUAAAAAUGAAAUAGGUUUCUAAGAGUUCAUGCAGCCCUAAGAUUUCCUUUCAUGAGCCAAAUCCUAAGGAACAAUUGGCUCCCUGCAGAAAAAGUUGAACUUAUUAUAAGUGCAGUUUGCUAAUAAAUAGGGAGAGGAGAUGCUGAAUGUUUCUUGCUGACGUUACCUGUUUCAAUGACUGAGGUUUCUGGGGAUGCUGCAAGCAACCCCAGUGAAUAAAACGCAGGCGUAUACCUCACAUGGUCUUUAAACUGCUGCAGUGUGAGAUUUGGUUUCAGAAGCUGCCACCUGUGGUCUUCUGGGAAGUGAUCAUUAAUAAAAAGAGCAGGAUGGGUAAGGAAGUAAAACUCAUUGUAUCUGGAACAAGGAGAAAGUGAGAGCCAUCAGAGCACAAUCAUGCAGUAUUUCACAACUCCUAAAUGAGCAGCAAAGAGAAACAGGCAAAGCUAUAUGCAGACAGUCUGCUUCUCUUUUUAAAGUGAUUUGUUUCCAAUUGUUUCCUUGUCAGUAUAUUAUCUGGAUUCUUUUUUAAAAAGCGGGGGGAGGGGGAAUCUGCAGAUGGGCACAGAAUAAUGAAGUCCUUGCAAGAAGUAGCCCCAGAAAAUAAAUUGAAAGUAAAUUUUGCCCCCACUGCAAUUCAUCCCAAUUCAGGGAUUAUCCAUUUUACAGUUUAAUAACGUACUUGAAAGUGAACUUAGUACAAGAGUCAUCCACACUGCCACUUCCCCAGGUGCUGUCCAACAGGUGCCACCUUCCGUCAAGAUAAACUGCAUUCCAGGCAUGGUCAGCCUUCUUAAAGCCUUUUCCUGCUUUGUAGGAAUACCCUUUGGAGUAGCCUGGGAAAUUCUUGCAUUCUAUCCCUGCAAUACUGAGGGCAAGAAGAAAUGAAAAGUAUUUAGAAACACCACUAUGGUGUUCAUUAUGUCUACAGGGCACUUUCCGGAUUAGAUCCUGCAACAGGGUCAGGAUGUAUCUCUGAAGUGUAUCUUCCACACUUCCUGUGUUGUGACACUGCAGUCCCUAUGCUGACAGCAGGGUGCCGUUUAUAUUUCCAAUGCUUUGUUUCAAAUUUAAUCACUGUGAUAUAGUGCUAUGAAGUCGUAUAUCUGGGGUAAAGAAGUUGCUGUUUUUUCGAGUAGUUAGUUUUUGAGAGACUGCUCCCCCUGCUGUUUACAUUUUAAUGUGAUUUGUCAGAACGAGAGCAGCUUACCUGGAAAGCACCCAGGCAUGGCUGUAUAUAUGUUGAGAUUACUCCAUGUCAGUGCAGCAAUUGUUACUGAGAGCAGAAUUAGGCAGCUGCAUACAUAAAAAGUAUGUUUCUAGAUCUUAAAGUGAGAGCAGUUUGAAAAAUAUUUAGCCAAUGCCCAGGGAAAGAAGCAGGGGAUGGGGGCAGGCUGAGCAGAAUUGCUUGAGGCUGUGGGAGGGCUUAGGUAUAUUAUUAUUAUAUUGUUCCCAUGACUGCAUGGAACAGAUUAAAGAAUGCAAAAUAAGAAAGUAUAUACACUUUUGCAUCAUUUGCAUACAAGUAAUAAUUGCUAUUGCUAAUAAGACUUGACUGUUUCAUUUUCAGCAGAAUUCAAACUUUAAAAGAACAACUAACAAAAACAUUGAAGACUCUUUCGCAUUUUUUCUGGCAUGGGAUUGGAAUCAUGCAUUAGUCUGGAUGCCAGCCACGAUCCUUUGGCUCAUACUUUCCCCAUUCUGCCUGGAAUGGAAUGCUCUGCUUAUCAGAAGAGCAUGCUGAGAAGGUAGAAUCAAAUUCCAGAUGUACAGGAAAUGCCUUGAUCUGCUAGCAGAUAACAUACAGCACCGUAUACCCCCAAAGAAGGAGGUGCCUGUUUGCCAUGAUCUGGAAAGUCUACAGAGUGAUCAAAUGUGACCACCAGAAAGGAGAAAACAUGUUUGCAGAAUCAAAGAGUGAAAGCAUAUGAAAACAGGUUGAGAUAUGGUAGCAGAGACAGAAAGGCAGCAGAGGGCAGCAGAAGAUCACCAGCAGGAGCUGCUGAGUGCAAGACCAGCCAACACGAAAGGCCAUCCCUCCUCUGAAUUGUCACCUAGAAAGGAGAACAGUCAUAAAUUGGUUGUUAAAAUCCUGGCAUUGCACAUAUGUAACAGGUUCUUAUUUUUAGAUAGUGCUGUAAUAUAACCAGAUUGUACAUACAAAACACAGGUACAUAAAUUGAUCAUUGCCUGCAGUGCCAGAUUUGGGCACAAGCUAAGUAAGCUACACCUUAGGGAUUCACAUUAUGAGGGAGGUUGGAUUUUAAAAAAUGACUACAUUUCAAAUUUUACAUAACAGAAAAAUAAAGGGGAAAGGGGAAAAAUGAUUCUAAAGCAGACUAAUAAGGCUAAAAUAUACUUAUAUUGCUGCACAAUUAUUUACCAAACCAAGUAUAUAAACCUUCACAGAAAUACCUGUAAAGUUGAAUUGAAAUUUCAUUUGACCAGGGCCCAGUUUUUCAAAGGUCUAAUUCUGGUUCAGAAAUUUGAUCCAGGAUCACUUUGAUUCUGGAAUCCCACAAUCCUGAAAUCAGUUUUGAUCUGAUUUUGAUGUUUUGGCACACUUUUCUUACAAGAUCUCAUGAUACUAUUGGGCUUUUUAAGAUUAACACAGCUUCGGGCCUCAGCAUUUAAUAAUCUAGCCCUUAUUGCCUGCCUGGCAAAA